ACCCCUGCCUUCCCAGAGCUACCCCUGGCCCAGGUCUUCCCAGACAGGGACCCCACACCCCAGGGUCCUGGCGCCCCCUAGCCCUCAGCCUGGUUUGGAAGGAAGGAAUGCAGUCCUGAAAUUCUGGGUGAAGAUGUUUGGCCGGGGCAGGGAGAAGGCCCACCAGCCACGGCUUGGAGCAGGUCUCGCAGAAGAAAUCCACCAAGGGCAUCGUGGAGUCUUGGCCCCGCUCAGGGCUGCCGCACACAGAGGCUGGGCUUGGGGAGUCCCGGGCCAAUGGCUCCACCCCGCUGCUCCUACACACCUUGUGGGAAGCCAUCUCGCUGACGGAGCGGUAGGUCUGCAUGGUUUCCAGCUGCUCCAGACACCAGUCCAGCUCCUCCAGUGUCUCCCGGGCCAACUGCUGACACGUCUCCUCUGGGGAAGGGGCAGCCGGGGCGGUGACUGCGAGGGUUCGCAUGGAGACCCCCAGAGGUGAUGGGGGCCCGUCAGCGGUUAUCCAGUUGACAGAGGCAACACAGGAGGCUAACUGCCUGGCAAGCUGGCAUCACGGCCAGGAGUGGCCCAGAGGCUGGGAUGGCUGACCACUCAUGACCUCAGCCUUGAGCGUCCAUACCCCUCCAUCUUUGUUUAUAAAAGUUUCCCCGACUUAAGAAUUUGAA